rnacentral:rRNA from 1 species
CCUACGGGUGGCAGCAGUGAGGAAUAUUGGUCAAUGGAGGCAACCCUGAACCAGCCAAGUAGCGUGCAGGAUGACGGCCCUAUGGGUUGUAAACUGCUUUUAUGCGGGGAUAAACUGAGUUACGUGUGGGUUAUUGCAUGUACCGCAUGAAUAAGGACCGGCUAAUUCCGUGCCAGCAGCCGCGGUAAUACGGAAGGUCCGGGCGUUAUCCGGAUUUAUUGGGUUUAAAGGGAGCGCAGGCCGCACCUUAAGCGUGUUGUGAAAUGCCCGGGCUCAACCGUGGCGGUGAAGGGCGAACUGGGGGGCUUGAGUGCGCGGGAGGUAGGCGGAAUGCGUGGUGUAGCGGUGAAAUGCUUAGAUAUGACGAAGAACUCCGAUUGCGAAGGCAGCCUGCCGUAGCGUAACUGACGCUGAGGCUCGAAAGUGCGGGUAUCGAACAGGAUUAGAUACCCGGGUAGUC